GUGCUAAUAAUGCAUGUUGCAUUUUUGUUUUCUUGGUGCUAACAAAGUUGCUUCCAACACAUAUCAGUUAUCCAGCAUGCUCAGAUGUUUGAAUAAAAAACUAGACUGCAACUAUUACACCUGUGUGAAUGAGCAUGUUUUUUAUGUCUUUUACAGCUAGUUGCAGCAGCAGAUUGUGCAAGAGCUUUGGAUGUAAUCGAUUACUUGCGCAAUUUACUGGAUACUGACAAGCUUGCUGGUCUCAAAUGCUUCUGUCAUCUGCAUGAUCAGUUAGCAAGAUCCAUCCAGGAUAUAAACAGCAUUCUUUCAGCAGAGUUCAGACGUGCUUCCAUGUACAAUGUCAAAGAUGGCAUGCCUAUUAUUUUGGCUAGAAUAGAAGCAAGGAAUUUUGAGAUGGACGAGGAAGAAAUGUUUCGCCUUCGUGAACGUCUUCUACCUUCUGUCAUUGGAUUGCUCAGAACU